GUACACUCCUACGGGAGGCAGCAGUGGGGAAUAUUGGACAAUGGGCGCAAGCCUGAUCCAGCCAUGCCGCGUGAGUGAUGAAGGCCCUAGGGUUGUAAAGCUCUUUCACCGGUGAAGAUAAUGACGGUAACCGGAGAAGAAGCCCCGGCUAACUUCGUGCCAGCAGCCGCGGUAAUACGAAGGGGGCUAGCGUUGUUCGGAUUUACUGGGCGUAAAGCGCACGUAGGCGGACUAUUAAGUCAGGGGUGAAAUCCCGGGGCUCAACCCCGGAACUGCCUUUGAUACUGGUAGUCUUGAGUUCGAGAGAGGUGAGUGGAAUUCCGAGUGUAGAGGUGAAAUUCGUAGAUAUUCGGAGGAACACCAGUGGCGAAGGCGGCUCACUGGCUCGAUACUGACGCUGAGGUGCGAAAGCGUGGGGAGCAAACAGGAUUAGAUACCCCAGUAGUCCCAUG
rnacentral:rRNA from 1 species